GGGCUGGGGCUCAGUGGCAGAGCGCUUGCCUCACAUGUGUGAGGGACUGGGUUCGAUCCUCAGCACCACA
rnacentral:tRNA from 1 species